CGAGUAACGCGUAGGAAUCUGCCUGGUAGUGGGGGACAACAUGUGGAAACGCAUGCUAAUACCGCAUACGCCCUACGGGGGAAAGGAGGGGAUCUUCGGACCUUUCGCUAUCAGAUGAGCCUGCGUGAGAUUAGCUAGUUGGUGGGGUAAAGGCUCACCAAGGCGACGAUCUCUAGCUGGUCUGAGAGGAUGAUCAGCCACACUGGGACUGAGACACGGCCCAGACUCCUACGGGAGGCAGCAGUGGGGAAUAUUGGACAAUGGGCGCAAGCCUGAUCCAGCCAUGCCGCGUGUGUGAAGAAGGCCUUCGGGUUGUAAAGCACUUUCAGAGGUGAGGAAGG
rnacentral:rRNA from 1 species